UGGCUAUGAUUUAAGCUCAUUUUUAGUCAUCUUUUAACUUCAAAAUCAGCCUAAUUCAUUGAGCCCAAACGUUUAUAGACCCGGCCAAUUUCCCUUUUAAUCUCCCCAAAACACAAAACUCUCUUCAUUUUACACAAAUCAGAAGAACCAAACGAACCUUAAGCAAAACUAGCGAGUUCAUAGCUGACAAUAUGCCAUUUUCGGUUAUAUUCCAAAGGGCCUAAGCUUCCUCAGUGUUUGUUUCACCAUUUCCGGCAAAGAAUUUAUGGCUUUGUUGUCUUCUUCUCUAAAAUGAAUGAUAAAAUUGCUUUUCUCCAAUUCUUUUCAAUUCGAUCUUUUCUUUUCAAAAAGAAUUCAAAUUUCUUUAAGAAGAUUCGGAUUUCAAAGGGAUUAUGAACAAAUUUCAGAUUUUGAGAUAUCCCACAUCAAAAUUUAUAGCUAAACCCUAGCAUUUGGGGUUCUAUUUAUGGGCUUUUAUAAAUAGAACCCCAUUUUCUUCAUUCAAGGGGAUUGGUUUUCACACUACAAAAAUGGGUUUUUACACCUUAAAUGGAUUUUUACACUCGCGAGAGUAGAAACUCGGCGAAGCCUUGAGUUUCGAGGAAGUUUCUUGCUCGUAGUUAAAUUUUUGAAGUCUUUCGAUUCAUCGGGACAGUCGAUUUUGGGUGAAAGAGUGUUCGUCGUCGACUCUCAUCGCCCCCGUCGCUGUUCGGCAAAAAGGUAAUUUUCUUCUUAAUUUGAUUUUCGUUUCUUUAGUUUUUUUUUUUUUUAUUGUUUUUGAAUUUGUGUAGAUUAGUUAGUUUUAAUGUUGUUUCAGAUAGGUAAAUAAUCUUCAGUUCAUGUGAUUUAGCAUUUUCGUUUAUCUUCCAGUUCUGCCUUUACUUGUUCAUGAAUAUAGUAUAUUUUAACUUCAAUAUGGAAAGAUCAGUUUAGUUUUCUUUAAAUGCUGUUAGAAUUAGAAAAUUAAUUCUCCAAAUAUCCCUCUUUUAUUUCUCUCUAUUUCAUUUUUUUUGCAAUAGUGUAGCAUUUUGUGUUCUUCAUAUGUUCUGUUCGAUAUGUUUUAACCCUGGUUAGAUUUAAUUAUGUAGAGCAGCAUCAAGGUAGUCUUAUCAGUUGCUUUAGUUUAAGCUUUAGGGAUUGACAAUGCCCUAGGCUUAAGUUGAAUAUUAUUUUAUGAGUAGUUGUUGAUAUUAAUUCAAGUUCAGUGUUCUUUCCUUGUGGUUAGUUUAUGUUAAGACUAUGGGAAAUCUGAUUGAUAAGUUGAUGCAUGAUUAAGUUAAUAUGAAUACUGUUUAGUCUGUUAAGUUGAGUUAAGCAGAAGUCCAUGCUGGUAUAAGUCUGCUUUAGGUUUCAGCAAUUGCCAAAUGUUUCUUUAGGAGUUUUUAGAUGUCCUAUAGCUAUGAUGUGCAUAUAUGGGAUUCAAUUUGAUAAGUAAGCUCUAUGUUUGGUUCUGUUUCCUUGUUUUAGGAGACUGAUUGAUGUUGUACACUUGAUAAAUAAAUUGUGUGUUUUUGUGUGUAUGAAACUUGCGGGUGUUAAAACCCCAAUUAUUUUUAGCAUCUAUAUUCAAAAGAGAAAAACUAAUUUUAGAAAGGAUAGAAAGAACCAUGAGUUACCUUUCCUCUCUACUUUUUUUUUUUUGAUUAAGCACCGGGUGUCCGGGUCUCCCUUUCCUCUCUACUUAUAAACUAAAAUAUUCAAUAAACUGCUUCCACCUGGUUGUCACAUAGACCAAUUUACUUUUCAUCUAGACAAGUUCUUGGUCUUUUUCCUUUACAUUAUUUGUUCUUUAUUUUGAAUUGAUGUGAGUCGACAGAGGAGGUGUCUUAGCUAGGAGUUAUUUCCCUUUAAGUAAAUGAAGUCUGAAAUAGUGUCCUUCCUGUUUAUGCUCACAUUGAGGCUACUGAAAUACAACCCAUUAACAAACUGAGUAUUAAAAGAUGAUUUAGCUAAAUGUUUAACUUAUCUAUGCUUAAAGCAGUUCCAUUUGUGAUGACUGUGUUCCAAAUGAAAUAUGUGAAUCUGUAUUAUUUACGAGUGAUUAAGCUGACCAAGUUUAUCUUUUCCCCUCCCCUUAGGUUAUGAAGCAAGACUGAAUUUCAUCUUUAGGGACUGAAAAUAGCCUGUGUGUAAAAACUCAUUACUAAAAACCCGAGUUGAUCAAGUUGCUAAUUCUGUGUUUCUGUUAAUAGAGGUGUGUUUUCUGUUACUAAACUAAUUAUAUAAACAUCAAAGUAAAUGAUACUUCCAAGCUUAAGUAUUUGUUUUCCAGAUGUAUACUUAGCUCAACCUGAUCCCCUUUUUUUAAAACCAACAAAAUUCUGUUCUCAGUUUGUGCUUGAAAAACAAUUGACUUGUAAGCCUGAAGUCGAUUUUCAAUAAAUGAAAGUGUUCCAAUAUCUCUCUGCCUUUCACUGUCACUUGUUGUUUGCCAACUUUUCCGUGUUUUAGUUUAAAGUUUGGAGCUUUAAACACCCUUUGUGUUUCAAGUGGCAGAGAGAGUUUGAAGGGUUUUUAGAAUGUGCAUUUAGUCCUAUUUUUGAGGGAAACAUACCUGCUGCCUUUGCAUCAUUUUGUGUUUGUUGGAUACUCAUUCUUCACCCCUCUUCUCUUUGCAUGACUUGGGGACUUUCAAAUCCCAAAUGUCCUUGAGCUGUUGUUACAUUGAUGUUGUUGCUGCACUUUGGAGGCUCUCAAAAUGCCUUACUUUGGGAUAAAUUUAUUGCAUUCUGGGGGAGAAAAAAUGCCAUACUUUGAGUAAAUUUAUUGCUGCAUACUGGAGCAAAUAGCUGCCAUACUUUGGUGUUGUUGCGAACUGGUUGCUGCUGUAUUUAGUCUUUGUUGUUGUUGUUUGAGCUGCUGUGUUGCCACUGCUAUUUGCUGUCUUGCUACACUUGAAACCAAUUGUUUGUGUCCUUUGAGCUAGAUGUCGUGCUUAGUUGCAGCACUUUGGUACAAUUUUGCUGCAUUUUUGGGGUUUGAAAGAUGCCACAUUUUUAGUGAAACCGCCGCUGCAUUUUGGGCUGCGUUUAAGGCAAUUUGUUGCUGCUAUCUAUUGCUAUGAUUAACUGCUGUACUGAUUGCGCUAAGGAGCUGCUAUGUUCUAACCUCUUUGAGCCAAAUACUGCUGUGCUUCUGGGCUAAAAUUCUUGCUGCACUGUGGGCAGACUUGAGCCAAAAAGCUGCUGUACUUUUGAGUUAAAUUGUUGCUGCCUUUCGGGCAGACUUGUGCCAAGCUACUGCUGCAUAUUUGAUGUAUGCCGCUGCCGAACAUGAACAGAUAGCUGUACUUGGUAAAGGAUCACUGAUUUAAACACGACACUACACUUGUGGGCCGAUGAGAACAUUUAAUUUGAGGCCAUGCCUUGUCCGGAAAGGUUAUCCCUCGGUUUAGGCGAUGAUGACCUCAUAAUAAUAUCACGAGGUAGGAACCAACAUGCGUUUGGCGAGGCAACUAGAAUCGCCACUAGUUUGCAGCCAAGACAUGUUUUGGGUUUCUUUGCCAUUCGGAAACAUGAGUCUGAGCCUCCGUAAUCAAAGCUCUCAAAGUUUGAUACGAGUCCGAGGGAUACUAUUUUUAUGUUCAUAAACGUCACCCUAUGGGGUGGCACACCAUUUUGACUAACGAAUUUUCUUUUCAUUAUGUGAGGUACAAAUAAAAUAAGUAUGGAGAACAAAGCUCAAAGAUGAAGUAAAAGGAUCGGAUUCUUAGAGCUUCGGACGAAGAACUAGAAGAGCAUGGAUUGCUAAGGAUUUGGGUCCAAGGCCGAAAAAGUUAAAUCUUCUUCCCCUUUCUUUUAUUUUUGUAUAAAAAUGCUAAUUUUAUAUGUUUAAAUUCAUUUUGAAUGAACAUGUAUACUUGCAAAUAUUUGUGUAUUAUUGAAACUCUUUAGAACUUAGUUGAAACCGUGCAUAAGAAAAACGAUUCAAGUUGUUUUCAAAAAACGUUUUAGGCCUUGGCCCACAUAAAGAUAAUAAUACAAAAGAAAUCCCACUUAAACCGAAGUUGGGGGAGAUGGAUUUGGUAUGGAAUAUGAUUGACCCUAAAUGAGCUAAAAUGGUUAAAUAAGUGAAAUCCUUUUCUUUAUUUAUGCUUAUAAUAUUUAUGCUAUGCUUAUAAUAUUUAUGCUAUUUUCUAAAAAGGGGAUAUAUACUCCAUUUUUUACAACACACACACACGUGUGUGUGUGUGUAUAAACUUAUAACGAUAGAAUCAUAAUAUUGGACCAAAUUAGUGGAAACUCUACUUAAGAAAAAUCUUAAAUGUGUUUUGGUCCGGAAAUGAAGUGAAUUUAAUCCAUUAUAAACAUUUUCUCAAAGAAAAAUUAACUUUUCUUCCUUAAAGAUAAUUUUGCCAAAAAGUGGAGUUUUAUGAUUAGCAUGACAGUUUUAGCAAUAACGUAAACAAUUUUAGCAAAUAAUCACAUUAAUCACACAUUGAAGUUCGUCGGUCAACAGUAUUCUAUGGAUUCUUAAUAAUAGGGUGCUUAAAACCUUUCCUAGGACAUCACCAGAAUUCUUACCUUGAACUCUGGUCCAAAAAAGAUUUUUCUCUUGCUUGAUAGAUCCUUUUAUCCGGUUUUCCUAAUUUUCCUUAAUAAAUUAGGUGGCACCUCUAAAAAAAAAUUAUAAAAUCCAUUUAGAGAACCAACAACCUCAUAGUAGCUUUCAUGCACUUGCGUAAAAGUAAAUCGUAACAAGUAUCAGAGCCUUAGGUUGCCCGAUUUAUAAUACAAGAGCGUGUCUAAUAGAGUCUCGUGGAUCGGUAUGAUGAGCUUUAUACUUAUCUGCGAGAGGCUAUAGGACAUUUAGGAAACUUUACUUUCUUUCAUUCUUUCGUGCUACUUUAUUCUAAUUGGUAUCUGGAACAAUCGAUUUGGUAUCUGAUUCUUAUCUCUUCUCUCACAGAUGGUGAGGACUCAAGCCACGAUAGCCCAAGACAGGUGCCGGAGCCUGCAACUACGGCUAGCACUAGGGGACAAGCAACAACUAGAGGAUGCGGUACGGCUAGAGGCCGCGGGGUUGCCCCAGCCAGGGGCGGGGCUGCCCAGUGUGAGAGAUCUCCCUCUCCAGAGCCUGAGGUCCAGCAGUUUCGAGACUAGGUCGUCGGGGAUGAUGUGGCUCCAGCACGGGCACACCCUAAGGCCACUUCAGAGCAGAUGAUGCAGGAUACUAUGGCUCAUGUUCUACUUCACUUGGAUGCACAGUAGGCUGCCGCUAGUGUUACUUCUCCAGGUGGAGGAUCUCAGACUAGAGAUGGGGUGCAGACCCCCGAGCAGAGGCAGACCCGUGCAGCACAUCCUGUUGCUGUUGUAGCUCUACGUAUGGAUGCAGUGCUGACCCUGAGGGAUGACUUUAGAACCGUGGUAGGCCCUGUUAUGACCUUGACCGAUCAAGAGCUAGUAAAGAGAUUCAGGAAGAUGGAGUCGCCGAGAUUUGCUGGUACUUUUGGAGAGGAUGCAUAUGAGUUUAUAUUGGAUAUGCAUGAGUUGUUGCACAGGAUGGGGAUUGUUGAGACCCAUGGGGUCGAUUAUGUGUCAUAUCAGUUUCACAGAGAUGCGAAGACUUGGUGGAGUUACUAUAUUUCUUACAGAUCAGAGGGUUCUCCUCCACUUACUUAGACACAGUUUUAUCGGGCCUUCCUUGAGAAGUAUGCGCCCCGGGCUUUGAGAGAGGCACGUAGAGAUGAGGUCCUCUACUUGUAGUAGAGGGAAUUGUCCGUUGAUGCAUAUGUGACUCGCUAUUUAUAUUUGGCCCUUUAUUCAGCAUCUCUAAUUCCUACUGAGCCCGACAGGAUUCGACGAUUUAUUGGUGGGCUCUCUACUGCUCUUCAGAUUCUAUGCCUUCAGCUUGAGGCCAUGGGUGCUUCCUUCCAGUCCAUUGUUGAGUAUGCUUCUUUAGUUGAGGCCGCUAAGGCCCCCGCAUUUGGAGGGAUUAGUGAGAAGAGAUAGCAACAGUUUGGGGGUUAUGGUGAUUCCAGCUUGAGGGGCACCAGACAGUCUUCGAGACAUUAUCAGUCCUAUUCCAGCCGCCUUGUGCAAUCAGCAUUGCAGGCUUUUUCUAGUGGGCUAUCCAAGUAGAGGGCUUCUGAGAGCUCAUAUUCUCGACCAGCAGGCAAAGUUGCACUAGCUGGGUCUUCAGUUUUGCUUCAUCAGACAUCGCCAUCUAAGGCGUGUUUUACGUGCGGAGCACUUGGUCAUUUUGCUCGAGAUUGUUAGCGACCUAGGCAGGGUUAUCAGCCCUAGAGGACCCCAGUAGCUUCAGGUAGCCGAGGUGGUGCUUUUUCGAGAGGCGGCGCUCAGUUUGGCCGUAGUGGUAGAGGUGGGUCCCAGAGUUCGAGAGGUGGAUCACAGUCUUGUCGUGGUAGGGCCUAGUAUUAUUCGUUCCCAGGUAAACCCGAAAUGAAGGCCUCAUGCUGUCAUUUCAAUUACCGUUUCUAUUCGACUUAGAGCAACGUCUGUAUUAUUUCAUCUUAGAUCCACUUAUUUGUAUAUGUCUGCAUAUCAUGCUGUUGGUUGAGACUUGACUUGUGAUAGCAUAGUGGUACCUAUUCAUAUGUCUUGUCACGACCCAGCCCCGGGGCCAUGACUAGUGUCGAGCUGGACACUCGUAUACGUACCUGUUAGACAUAGUCAAGCUGACACUAUAGACAAUAUGGGAAUUGACAAAGACCCAAAAGUUCAGAUUAUCAUGAUAAUCUGUCUUCUGAGGAGUCACAACCAAUACGCAAGCCGACAAGGCUGCCACUACAUAUCAUUAUAAUACGCAAGUCGACAAGGCUGCCACUACAUGUUAAUAUACUACGCAAACCGACAAGGCUGUCACUACAUAUCGAUACCAUAUGCAAGCCGGUAAGGCUGCCACAAUAAACAGAAAUAUCCACAACAAACCAUAUAGGCAUAGCUGAUCAUAAUCUAUAUACAACCCACACAUAUGUCUACAGACCUCUAAGAGUAUCAACAGUGAAACAUGACGGGACAGGGCCACGCCGUACCCCUGGACAAACAUAUAUAUAUAUAUAUAUCAAAAGAUCUGUACCAAAAGUCUAGGCUCCGGAACAACGGAGCUCUCCAAGACAGCUGAGUGGGAAUCCUAAGCUGGAGGAUCACCGAAUCGAGUAUCUGUACUUGCGGGCAUGAAACGCAACCCCCCGAAGAAAGGGGGUCAGUACGAGAUAUGUACUGAGUAUGUAAAGUAUGAAAUACAAUAAAGAGGAUCUUGACUGAAUAGGGAUUACAGGAGACAAGUAUAAUAUCCAGAAUACCAAAACACUUGCCUUAUGAAACAUAAAUCAUGCAUGUCAAUAUCAUAUAUCAUACCCGGCCCAUUACGGGACUCGGUGAAUAAAGUCAUCAUAUGCCAUCCUUGGCGCCAUAAUCACAUCAUCAUAUCAUCAUCAUAUAUAUGUAUAUACCGUACCCGGCCCUCUAGUGAGGGACUCGGUGAACAAUGCAGUGAAACUGUGCACGAUAACAUACCUGGCCCGGGACUCGGUGAAAGACAUAUUGAGGCAUGCACGAGCAGAGUAGUGAGCAACUAUAUACAAACUAAAUCAUCAUCAGAGACUCAAUAGAAUAAGUAGAAUGAAUUAACACUUGAGUAUCAAUGGCGACAGUCAUAUCAAGUAUCCCUCGAACGUCAUUAUGAAUUAUGUCAAAGGGAACUUCAGGAAUCAUAGACACGUACCAAAAUCAUAUGAAAUAGCUUAUGGAAAUCAAGAACAUUAACCAUCCUAGUGUCUCUAAGAAUAGGAACUUAUACAUUCGUCGUUUGUUCGUUUCAUAUGAAUCAUGCCAAAAGGAAGAAAGGAUAACUUUACAUACCUGUUAUAGGUUAACCGUAACCAAGUUCGCUUCGUCGCCCCUUUAGCCUAUUUAAUAUGAAUGUAACGCUAUCGUUAGUAAACUAUACUUUCUAGCUUAUAAAUCUACAACCAAUCGCUUAUAGGUAUCAUUCUUUAGUUCAUACUUUCCUGAUUAGGAUUUUCGUUAGUUAAGAACUUAACGGAAUUCAGGAAGCAUUUACCCUAUAUAACUUGCCUAACCCGAACUUCUAAUUAAUCUCCUGUUAUCACAGCAAUUCCAACAACAACAGUAAUAGUAAUAUUCAUAUCAAAUCCUUACAAUCCAGCCCAUAAACAACUCAAACAACCCAAUAACCUUUCUUAAUCCUUUUCCAAUCCAAAUCAUUAACAUUUAAGAUUAUACACCAAACAGAUCAACAUACGUUUUGUAUACAAUACAUUAUACACUUCUUUUUCCAAAUUUAGAGGCCAUAUCAAUGACAACACGAACAACAACAUAUGAACAUAAACCACACUUUUAAUCUUUCAACUCAACAAUUCUAUAUAACAACUACAACUCCUAAUACCAACGAAUUCAUGCAAUUUCUUACUCCCAAUUUCAUCUAAUACAAUUUUAAUCUUUCCAUUACAACACCAUUAAUCCAAUUAUACCAUAAAAUGAGAAGAUCUUACCUUAAUUUAAUCAGAGCAAAUUCUACACUCACUUGCACCAAUUGCACUAUUUCCUCUUCCUCAAUUCGAUCCCUUAUGUUGCUAUCACUUCCUUGGACGUGCAAACUAUCUUGGAAUUUAAUCUAAGAAAGAUUUUUUUUUUAAAUAACAAGCUGGCCGUGAGUAGUGGCUGCCAUGGCUGCUCAAGCUCUAGCUUCAAUUGAGCAAAAUUUGCAAAUGAAAUGAAAAUAGCCAACAUUAGUCAUCUAUAUGACUAUAUAUAUUUUGUCCACCUAUAGGACACGUGCCCCCCCCCCCCCCCCCCCCCAUCCCCUAAUGACUCGUCAGUUUUUAUUGUUUUGUAUUAUAUAUUUUUUAAAGUCGGUGGGGCCCACUUAAUUAUCUAAUUAGCUAACUUAAUUAAUCUUAAUUAAUCCCUAAUCUCCAUUAAUAUUUCUAUACUAAUUGAAAUUAAUAAACAAAUCGUGCACUAAUUAAAAUCGAGGAUUAAAAGUCCUUAUUUCAUAUCCCAAAAGUAAUUUCGUCCUUAACUUAUGUAAAUUGGCUUACGAAUAAUCCAAUGUACAAAAAGACGAGAUAUAACAUGUCUACUCCAAUCGGAGAUUCUAUUGUGGUUGAUCGAGUCUAUCGAUCGUGCUUGGUUACUUUUAUGGGUUAUGACACGUGGGUAGACUUGAUGAUACUUGAUAUGGUGGAUUUUGAUAGUAUUUUGGUUAUGACCUGGCUUUCUCCUUAUCAUGAGAUCUUGGACUGUGAUGCCAAGACAAUCACUUUAGCCAUGCCGAGCAUUUCUUGACUUGAGUGGAGGGGUACUCCUAGCCCCGCUCCGAAGAAGAUUGUUUCCUUUCUCUAGGCAAAGAAAUUAGUCAACAAGGGGUGUUUAGCUUAUCUGGCUCAUGUGUGUGACACUACUGCUGCAUCUCCACCCCUUGAGUCCAUUCCUAUUAUGAACAAGUUCGCAGUGGUAUUCUUGUUCGAUCUACCGGGUAUACCACCUGAUCGUGACGUUGAUUUUUGUGUUUAAUUGGAUCCGAGCACCCGCCCUAUUUCUAUUCCACCAUGUCGAAGGGCACCCACCGAGUUGAGAGAGCUUAAGGAGCAAUUACAGAAUUUAUUGAGCAAGGGGUUCAUUAGACCAAGUGUCUCCCCUUGGGGUGCUCGUGUGUUGUUAGUAAAGAAGAAAGAUGGAUCUAUAAGGAUGUGUAUCGAUUAUUGCUAGCUGAACAAGGUUACUAUUCUGAACAACUGCCCCAUGCCUCGUAUUAUUUCUUUGACCAGCUUCAGGGUGCUUCAGUGUUCUCGAAGAUUGACUUACGUUCAGGCUACCAUCAGUUGAAGAUCAGGGUUGAGGAUAUUUCGAAGACAGAUUUUCGGAUGAGAUAUGGGCAUUAUGAGUUUCUGGUGAUGUCGUUUGGGCUUACCAAUGCCCCAGCUGCAUUCAUGACUUUGAUAAAUGACAUCUUUAGGCCAUUGCUUGACUACUUUGUGAUUGUGUUCAUUGAUGAUAUCUUGGUGUAUUCCAAGAGGAGAGAGGAGCAUGAGAACCAUCUUCGCACUGUACUUGGGUUGUUGAAGAGAAAUAGUUUGUUUGCUAAGUUUUUGAAGUGCGGGUUUUGGUUGGAGUCUAUGGCAUUCUUGGGCCACGUGGGUCUAAGGACGGGAUCAUGGUUGAUCCUUAGAAGAUUGAGGCUGUGCGGGAUUAGGCGAGGCCCACUACUGUGAUCGAGAUCGUAGUUUGAUGGGGUUGGCUAGUUAGUACUGCCAAUUUGUGAUUGGUUUUGCUUCUAUUACUUUGUUGUUGACCAUAUUGACUUAGAGAGAUGUUCCCUUCCAGUGGUCCGAUGAUUGUGAGGAGAGCUUUCAAAAGCUCAAGACUCUUUUGAAUUCAGCCCUAAUUCUAGCAUUACCCGUGGAGGGUAAGGAUUUCUCAGUCUAUUGUGAUGCAUCCUGUGUAGGUUUGGGUGGUAUGUUGAUGUGGGAGGGUAUAGUCACAGCCUAUGCUUCCCAUCAGUUAAAGAUCCAUAAAAAGAAUUACCCUACCCAUGCUUUGGUGUUUUUAGCUGCGGUCUUCGGUUUGAAGAUCUGGAGGCAUUACAUGUAUGGUGUCCAUUGUGAAAUUUUCACCGAUCACCUUAGCUUUCGGCACGUGUUUACCCCGAGAGAUCUUAACUCCAGGCAACGUCGAUGGAUGGAACUCUUGAAGGACUAUGACAUUUCUAUUCUUUAUCUCCCGGUAAAAGCCAAUGUUGUUGCUGAUGCUUUGAGUUGCAAGGUCAUGAGUAUGGGGAGUUUAGCCCGUUUGAUUGUUUUCGAGCGUCCGUUGGCCAUGGAGGUCCAGACUCUGGCCAACAGUUUCGUUUGUCUUGAUAUUUCAGCCCCAGGUAGAGUUUUAGCUUGUGUGGAGGUGAGAUCAUCCUUAUUAGAUUAGAUCAAAACUCAUCAGUUUGAGGAUGCUCAAUUGAGCAAGAUUCGAGACAGGUUUUUGAGAGGUGAGGCCAAGGAGGCCAUGAUUGAUUCUGAGGGUACUUUGAGGAUUAAGGGGCACGUGUGCGUUCCUCGUAUUGGUGACUUGAUUAAUUUGAUUUUGACUGAAGUUCAUAGCUCUCGAUAUUCCAUUCAUCCGGGAGCGAUUAAGAUGUAUUAGGACUUGAGGCAGCAAUACUAGUGGUGUCGUAUAAAGAGGGAUACAACUGAUUUAGUGGCUAAGUGUGGUAAUUGUCAACAAGUUAAGUAUGAGCACCAGCGACCCGGUGGUGUACUUCAGAGGAUGCCCAUUCCCGAGUGGAAGUGGGAGGGGAUUGCCAUGGAUUUCGCUGUGGGUCUUCCGAAGACCCUAGGUAAGUUUGAUUCGAUUUGGGUGAUAGUUGAUCAGAUGAGUAAGUCCGCUCAUUUCAUUCCAGUUCAGGUUUCUUAUUCUGCGGAGAAAUUAGCCAAGUUGUACAUUUGUGAUAUUAUGAGAUUGCAUGGGAUUCCCAUUUCUAUCAUAUCUGAUCAGUUUACUAUCUUCACUUCCCAUUUCUGGAGAGCUUUUCAUGAUGAGUUAGGUACUCGAGUGGAUCUUUGUAUAGCUUUCUACCCCCAGACCAAUGGACAGUCUAAGCAGACCAUUCAGGUGCUCGAGGAUAGGUUGAGGGCUUGCGUUAUAGACUUUGGUGGUCAUUGAGAUCAGUACUUGCUGUUGGCAGAGUUUGCGUAUAACAAUAGUUAUCACUCGAGUAUCGAUAUGGCGCCUUUUGAGGCUUUGUAUGGCAGGAGAUGUAGAUAUCCGGUAAGUUAGUUCGAUGCAUUUGUGGUUCGACCUUGGGGUACAAAUCUAUUGAGAGAGUCUCUUGUGAAGGUGAGGUUCAUUCAGGCCAAGCUUUUGGCAGCUCAGAGUCGACAGAAGAUAUAUGCGGACCGAAAGGUCCGAGAUUUAGAGUUCGUCGUUGGUAAUCAGGUUCUAUUGAAGAUUUCAACCAUGAAAGGUGUUAUGAGAUUUGGGAAGAAAGGUAAGUUGAGUCCGAGGUAUAUUGGGCCAUUUGAGAUCCUAAAUUGUGUGGGGAAUGUCGCUUAUGAGUUGGCCUUGCCACCUGGCUCGGCAGGCGUUCAUCUAUUUUUUCAUGUGUCUAUGUUGAAUAAAUAUCAUGUCGAUGGCACUUAUAUUGUUCGUUAGGACUCGGUGUUUCUUGAUGAGAAUCUGACUUAUGAGGAGGAGCCUAUUACGAUUUUGGAUAGGCUGGUUCGAAAGUUGAGGUGUAAGGAGAUAGCUUCUAUGAAGGUACAAUGGAAGCAUCAUCCUAUUGAGGAGGCCACUUGGGAGGCAUUCAAUAUGCGUAGCUGAUAUCCUUAUUUGUUUGCCGAUUCAGGUACUUUUUCGUUCUUUUCCCUUUCGUCGCUCGAGGACGAGCGAUGAUUUAAUUGGUCUCUGAUGUAACGACCCGUCUUGUCGUUAUAGUCUUUCCAGUACUUUUGACCCUUCCCUGAGCUUAUUUAGCUUAGGCUUGAUUUAAGGUGACCAUUGGCACGCUUUCCGAGGUAUUUGGAUAUGUUUUGGGUGAUGUUUUGGGAAAUUCAGGCUUAAAGCGAAAAAGAGUUGACUGAAAGUUGACUUUUGGGAAAAUAGACCGUUUUUAGGAAUCCAUCGAUUUCGAGAGGUCCGGAUGGUCCUUUAGAACUUGUGUGUACAUUUGGUUCAGUUCCCAAUGCGCUGGGGUGCAUUUUGGAACUUGGGUUGGGAAGUUGGUUUUGAGGUAUCGAGAGUUGACUCAGUCAACGAGACCUCUGUUGGGAAGUUCGAGGCCACGAGCUCGUUCGUAGCGUGUUUUUAUGUAUGUCUGCAUAUAUGGUAUGUGAGCAUAUGGCCUCGGGUGAUAGUUGGGAUUUCUUGUUGAGAUUGUGAAAAUUGGGGGAAUUCUGGUGUCUGGUGCCCGCUAUGGCGGCACCAGCGGUACCGCUUUACCCGUUACCCUGCCGCUGUAGUGCCUAAGUGAUUUGAGGCAGGACUGUUGUAGUGGUCAGGGGACCGUCACAGCGGCACUGCCGAAGAGGUAUAGUAUGCGCGGGAGCGGUGUCGGGCAGUUAGAUUCCUUAAAUGAGUGUUAAAAGCCCUAAGUUCCUCAUUUAUUACUAUUUUGAAAACUGAGUUAUUGGGAUCAUUUCAAGGCAUUUCUUGCUGGAAAAUCAUUGUGACUUCCAUGAUUUCGAGGCUCAAAGGAAGGCAAAGACUAAGAUUUGAGUAUUGGAGACUUUGUUGUUUGGCUCUCCAGAGUACCAGGUGGGAUAGACUUCUACUCUUCGUGGCUGAUCUUUGAGGUUGCUGAUUCGACUCUUUCAAGGUGAGCACGAGGAAGGUCGCUACCCGAAGACUCUUCCUUUAUUAUGUCUUUAUUUCCAUUCCCGAGACAUAAUUUUUGAGACUAUUGAUGUAUUACUAUCAUUCAUACUUGUAGUAUUUAGUUAGUUUCUCUUGUAUGACCAGAUCGGAUACUGGGGUGUAUUUCUCUUAUUUUCACAUUUUUCUUAUAUUAUUAUCGUGAGACUU